rnacentral:rRNA from 1 species
AUGUCCCUGUUUACUUCUUAUCAGGUCGCAAGGGAUUCUUCCGUCCUAAUGGGGAAUGGGUCACAUGCUUCUGUUCGUGGCAUUGGCACGGUGGAUCUGAAGUUUACUUCGGGAAAGAUCGUGCAACUAAGGAACGUGCAGCAUAUCCCUACUAUGAACAAGAAUCUAGUUAGCGGCUCCCUUCUAUGUCGAGAUGGAUUUAAGGUAGUUUUAGAGUCCAAUAAAGUAAUCGUGUCAAGAUUUGGACAAUUUAUAGGAAAAGGCUAUGAGUGCGGAGGCUUGUUCCGCUUUUCUCUUUCAGAUUUUUGCAAUAAGUCAAUAAACCAAAUUUGUGCUAGUGUUAAUGAUGAUCCUCAUAAGGCUGCCGAGGAGAGAAACUUGGCACCUCUAGAACUCAUACAUUCUGAUCUUUGUGAGAUGAAUGGUGUGUUGACAAAAGGUGGAAAGAGAUAUUUCAUGACUUUGAUUGAUGAUGCGACUAGAUUUUGCUAUGUUUAUUUGUUGCAAACUAAAGAUGAAGCAUUAGACUACUUUAAAAUCUAUAAAGCUGAAGUUGAAAAUCAACUAGAGAGAAAGAUCAAGCGUCUUAGGUCCGAUCGUGGUGGAGAGUAUUUUCCAAAAGUUUUUAAUGAAUUUUGUGAGGAACAUGGUAUUAUUCAUGAGAGGACGCCUCCCUAUUCACCUCAAUCAAAUGGAGUGGCCGAGAGGAAAAACCGCACAUUGACUGACUUGGUGAAUGCCAUGUUAGACACUGCUGGUUUAUCUAAGGCAUGGUGGGGGGAGGCUCUAUUGACUUCAUGUCAUGUCCUGAAUAGAGUUCCCAACAAUAAUAAAGAGAAAACCCCUUAUGAGGAGUGGGUUGGGAGAAAACCAUCACUUUCUUAUUUGCGCACUUGGGGAUGUUUGGCAAAGGUCAAUAUUCCUAUUCCUAAGAAACGCAAACUUGGACCAAAGACAGUGGAUUGUGUCUUUCUAGGGUAUGCUCAACGGAGCAUUGCUUAUAGGUUUUUAGUGGUAAAAUCUGAAACGAUUGCAGAAGCAUAUGCAUCUCCGGAUGUAGAUGAUUGGAAAGAAGCUGUUCAUAAUGAGAUGGACUCAAUUCUUUCUAAUGGAACUUGGGAACUAACUGAUAGACCAUAUGGUUGUAAACCUGUGGGCUGUAAGUGGGUGUUCAAAAAGAAGCUAAAGCCUGAUGGUACUAUUGAUAAGUACAAGGCGCGGCUAGUGGCCAAGGGCUACACUCAGAAAGAAGGCGAAGAUUACUUUGACACCUAUUCACCCGUUGCUAGAAUGACCACCAUUCGAGUGUUACUUUCCUUGGCUGCCUCUUAUGGUCUUAUCAUUCAUCAAAUGGAUGUAAAGACAGCUUUUCUCAAUGGAGAGUUGGAAGAGGAGAUCUAUAUGGAUCAGCCCGACGGGUUUGUGGUAAAGGGUGAAGAAAGAAAGGUGUGCAAGUUGUCAAAAUCUUUGUAUGGUCUGAAACAGGCACCUAAGCAAUGGCAUGAGAAGUUUGAAAGAACUUUGACUUCUGUAGGAUUUCUCAUUAACGAGGCUGAUAGGUGUGUUUACUAUCGCCAUGGUGGGGGAAAUAGUGUCAUAUUAUGUUUGUAUGUGGAUGACAUACUGAUCUUUGGUACAAACAUUAAUGCAAUUAAUGAGGUCAAGUCUUUUCUAUCAAAAAGUUUUGACAUGAAAGAUCUGGGAGAAGCCGAUGUAAUUCUAAACAUCAAACUUAUUAAGGAUGAGAGUGGGAUUACAUUAACUCAAUCUCACUAUGUUGAGAAGGUCUUGAACCGAUUCGGUUUUAUGGAUAGCAAGCCUUCUCCAACACCUUAUGAUCCCAGCGUGACACUUAGAAAGAACAAGAAAGAAACGAGAGAUCAAUUAAGAUACUCUCAAAUUGUCGGUUCACUCAUUGAGUAG